rnacentral:misc_RNA from 1 species
GAAAUGCGAUAUGUAAUGCGAAUUGCAGAAUUCAGUGAAUCAUCAAAUCUUUGAACGCAAAUGGCGCUUUCGGGAUAGACCUGGAAGCACGCCUCUCUGAGUAUCGGUUCAAACACAACUCAUUCAGUACAUGUCAAAGUGUAAGGGAAUGGAAAAUGAGAGUCUAAGCACUUGUUGCUUUGUCUCUUGAAAUCUGUUGAGCUUCGGUCUCUCUAUAUCGUUCAGAUCAAGUAAUUG